rnacentral:misc_RNA from 1 species
CAACCCUCAAGCCUUUUGCUUGGUGUUGAGGUUCUAUAAUUAUAGGCCUCUAAAUCUAUUGGCAGAACGUCAUAAACUCUCAAUUGUAGUAAAUUUUAUUUCUAUUGAAGAAUUUUGACUUUUCUAGCCGUAAAACACAGCGUGCUCUUUUGAGCCCUAAUUUUUACAA